rnacentral:rRNA from 1 species
GCCACACUGGAACUGAGACACGGUCCAGACUCCUACGGGAGGCAGCAGUGGGGAAUAUUGGACAAUGGGCGCAAGCCUGAUCCAGCCAUACCGCGUGGGUGAAGAAGGCCUUCGGGUUGUAAAGCCCUUUUGUUGGGAAAGAAAUCCUGUCGGUUAAUAACCGGUAGGGAUGACGGUACCCAAAGAAUAAGCACCGGCUAACUUCGUGCCAGCAGCCGCGGUAAUACGAAGGGUGCAAGCGUUACUCGGAAUUACUGGGCGUAAAGCGUGCGUAGGUGGUUGUUUAAGUCUGCUGUGAAAGCCCUGGGCUCAACCUGGGAAUUGCAGUGGAUACUGGGCGACUAGAGUGUGGUAGAGGAUAGUGGAAUUUCCGGUGUAGCAGUGAAAUGCGUAGAGAUCGGAAGGAACAUCUGUGGCGAAGGCGACUAUCUGGGCCAACACUGACACUGAGGCACGAAAGCGUGGGGAGCAAACAGGAUUAGAUACCCUGGUAGUCCACGCCCUAAACGAUGCGAACUGGAUGUUGGGCACAACUUGGUGCCCAGUAUCGAAGCUAACGCGUUAAGUUCCGCAANCCUGGGGAGUACGGUCGCAAGACUGAAACUCAAAG